NNNNNNNNNNNNNNNNNNNNNNNNNNNNNNNNNNNNNNNNNCACUGGGAGCCCACACUGGGAGUGCUGGGAGCACUGGGAGGCUGCACUGGGAGCACUGGGAGGCUGCACUGGGAGUGCUGGGAGCACUGGGAGGCCGCACUGGGAGUGCUGGGAGCACAGAGCCCACACUGGGAGUGCUGGGAGCACAGAGCCCACACUGGGAGCUCUGGGAUCCUGCACUGGGAGGCUGCACUGGGAGUGCUGGGAGCACUGGGAGCCCACACUGGGAGUGCUGGGAGCACUGGGAGCCCUCACUGGGAGCUCUGGGAUCCUGCACUGGGAGUGCUGGGAGCACUGGGAGAUCUGGGAGCCCACACUGGGAGUGCUGGGAGCCCUCACUGGGAGUGCUGGGAGCACUGGGAGCACUGGGAGCCCACACUGGGAGUGCUGGGAGCCCACACUGGGAGUGCUGGGAGCAGUGGGGGCACACUGGGGACGCUGGGUACCCGUCCAUACUGGGAGCACUGGGAACCCAUUCUGGGAACCCACUCUAGGAGUGCUGGACACUUCAGUUCUGGUCACCUGAGCACUGGGAACCCACACCAGGAGCACCAGUCACCCCAGUACUGGGAGGACUGGGCAGUACUGGGAGCACUGGGACACUCACUGGGAGCACUGAGCACCCACAUCGGGAGGACUGGGCUCCCACACUGGAAGGACUGGGACAGUCACAGGGAGCACUGGGAGGGCUGGGUCACCGGUACUGGCAGAACCAGCUGGCUCCAGCACUGGGAGCACUGGGAUUCUGGCACUGAGGGAACUGGGAGCACUGGGAGCACUGAACACCCACACUGGGGGCACUGGGAGCAGGGAUGGGAACACUGGGAGCACUGAACACCCAUACUGGGAGCACUGGGAGCAGGGAUGGGAGCACUGGGAGCAGGGAUGGGAGCACUGGGAGCAGGGAUGGGAGCACUGGGAGCACUGGGAGCACUGGGAGCGGUGAUGGGAGCACUGGGAGCACUGGGAGCGGUGAUGGGAACACUGGGAGUACUGGGAGCAGGGAUGGGAACACUGGGAGCACUGGGAGCGGUGAUGGGAGCACUGGGAGCACUGGGAGCAGGGAUAGGAGCACUGGGAGCAGGGAUGGGAGCACUGGGAGCGGUGAUGGGAGCACUGGGAGCAGGGAUAGGAGCACUGGGAGCACUGGGAGCACUGGGAGCAGGGAUAGGAGCACUGGGAGCACUGGGAGCGGUGAUGGGAGCACUGGGAGCA
rnacentral:lncRNA from 1 species